GUGAAUGUCUAUGUGUGUCUCAGUGUUAUGCGUGAGUCAGUGUGUCUGUGGUGUGUGUGAGUGUGUACGCGUGAGCGUGUCUGUGCAUGAGUGCACGCAGGGGGAAGGGCACGGUCCUGGGAAGGGUAGCAAGUGGAGGGGCUUUGCCCGCGGACCUGUCUAGAAAGGUGGUCUGGGAGCAGCAGGUGGCUGGGCAGAUGGGGCGGGAUGGCUUGACAGCCACAUCGUGAGUGGCCUGAGGCUGGGCUGGGGAGGUGUCCAUGGGAACCGACAGGCGGAGGAUGCAGAAAAACAGGAGGGAGGAAAAACGCGACUCUUGGUUGAAUUCCUGACAGGAGGAGAGGAGCUGGGUCCACCUGGGUGAGGAGGGACAGGAGGCCGGCAGGGGGCGCUGUCCACAGCGGAACCAGGUGAGGUCGGCUGCUGGGAGGGGGGACCCCCCCCGCCCCAGGAGGCGCGGGGAGAUGGGACACAGGCCUGGGGUCAGGCCCUCGGACAUGUUCAACUUGGAAGUCAGACCCCUCCCGGCCCCCACCUUGGAGCUGUUUUCAGUGCCGUAAUCCUGGGUUCUGGCAUCAGAGCCGUUGCCAUGGGGACCUCGGCGAUUCAGCAUUUUGAUGAUGGGUUCAGUGGGGAAGAAGGGGAGAGGAGGGGAGGCGAGAGGGAGGGGGAGGGGGCGGAAGUCUCGGGUUCUCUGGAUGGGGGAUGAGGAGGAAGUGGGAAGGGGGUAUAUUCCUUGCCCUCAGCUGAUGUAACAAACUGCCAACCACUGGGUAGCUUGAAAUAACAGAAAUGGAUCCUCUCCUGCAUCUGGAGGACAGACAUCCAAAAUCAAGGUCUCAGGUGAGCUUGGCUCCUACUGGAGGCUAAGGGAGCAUCUGUCCUGGGCCUGUCUCCUGGCUUCUGAUGUUGCCAGGGAUCCCUGGUGACUGUCCUUUGCCUGGUAGAGGUGUCACUCCCAUCUGUCUCCGUCUUCGCAUGGCCUCCUCCCCGCGUCCCUGUGUGUCUGCUCCUUUUCUGUCUCUCCAAGGACACUCGUCUUUUGAUCUAGGACCCACCCUAAAUCCAGGAUG
rnacentral:lncRNA from 1 species